GGGAGUUCUGUUUUUACUGAAACCAUCUGGUAAAGAGAAGCCAGUACAAGGUAAUAAUAUUUUGUUAUCUGCAAUGCCAGUCUUCAAAUGAUUGUUUUUCUUGGAAAUUGCUAACCUGUUGGGGAAAAUUAAACACUAAGAUUGGAGUUCUAGUGACCGUUAAUAAAACAAGGGAAAUAAAUUAUUUUUCUCAUUAAUUUUAAUACCUACUGAUAGCCUUCUAACAUUACUAAUGAGACAUCGUUCAUCAGGGCUUGGCUGUUAGGUUAUCACAUGAAUUGAGGGUUACUAACAGGAAAGGAUAAUCCCAUUCUUAUUAGUAGCAUUUGAAUUUGUUUAGUCUUCAAUCCUAAUAAUUCAUAUCACUGUUCUUCCUGAGGCUGAGUAUCUGGCAGGUGCUUGACAAAUCCUGGUUGAUUUCCUGAAAAGCUGAGGUAGAAGAGUGCAACUCCAAUUAUGCAAAUUUAAGCCAUACAAAUGAUGAGAGUAAGGAAUAAACAAAGAUAUAUAUCCAAAAAGACAAAGUGAAUGAGAGAGUACACUUCAGUCGGUAAAAGAUCUCACGAAAGUUUUGGAAGAUGGAAGGCCAAUAAAGUUAGAAGAGUAUAGAAAACAAAUUUAAAUGCUUAUAGGAGGAAAAGCCAACGAGAAUGAAGACCCGUCACAGAUCCCUGAAAAACUCACAAAUGGGAAGCACCUCUGAGAGUAGAGGCUGUAUAGCAGACUUGGAAAUAGUAACAAACUCACCUCCCUGACCUCACCCCAUCUCCAUCGUUAACCCCAGCCUGCACAGCCAAGCAACUGCCUCUCUUCUCCGACAGAAACUGGAAGUUUAAUCCUGGGGAAAGCUGAACCUGAGAGGACCUUGAUGUGAGAUAACAAGGCAAAGCUGAAGGCCGUGGGAGCAUUGGAGGGGACUCCUCAACAUCCAUCCUAUCCCUAAAUGACAAGUCUAAGACAAUUGGGGCAAUCCUGUCCCCCUGGUCUAAGCGGUUGCACAAGUGACCCAGUUCUCACCAGUAGAAUGAGACGUCUGGAAGAAGUUUCCUCUCCAGAGAAAGUCACAGAAUUGUGGCCAUCCUGCUACCAGCCUGAGAAUAAAGAAAACACCAAGACGGCUGCUGAUUGAAUCAACCUUAAAGCAUGCUCUACAACAGGACUUCCAUUUAUAUGGAGAUGAUAAAUUUUCUUAUUGUUUAAGCCAUCUGGAUUGGGGUUUCUAUUACUUGCAGCUGGAAGGAUCCUCACUGAUAAAACUCUUAAGAGAAAUGACUCAUGGGAAAACAAUUCUCCCAGCUUCUGGUUAACUUUGGCCUCCAGAGAUAAUUAUCUGUGCCAUCAGAUACAUAAAAAAUAUGGAGGACAAGAACUAGGAAACUGGCUUGCAGAGGACCUUCCUGUGCCCCUUCCUGACGUCUCUCUCUCCCUGCCAGAGCACUAACACCCCUGACAUAUGGAUGUUGCCUUCUCCCCUUAAGAAGUGGGGGCAUCUCCUCCCACGUGCUCACGGCAUGUACCCGGGUGCCCCCGGCCUGGCGCACCCGGGGUAUGAACCGUGGCUCCACCGGAGCUCGAACCCAGGACCUUCUGCGUGUAAAGCAGACGUGCUAACCACUACUCUUGUGGAACCACCCAUGAAUUAUAUCUUAAUAAAGAUGUGAAGAAAAACACGGAAUCCUUAUCAUUCAUUCAAAACACACAUAUUAA